CUGUUUUCUACAGCCUGCAACCUGUUUUUUACAACCUGCAACCUAUUUUUUACUGCUACAGAUAUGUUUUCUACAGCCUGUAACCUGUUUUCUACAGCCUCCAAUCUGUUUUUUACUGCUAUAGAUCUGUUUUCUAUAGCCUGGAACCUGUUUUUUACUGCUACAGAUCUGUUUUCUACAGCCUGCAACCUGUUUUUUACAGCCUGCAACCUAUUUUUUACUGCUACAGAUCUGUUUUCUACAGCCUGCAAUCUGUUUUUUACUGCUACAGAUCUGUUUUCUAUAGCCUGGAACCUGUUUUCUACCAAACGGCUAACAAAGGCUUAGCUUUGUAGCUGUCAGGAUUUCUAUUUAAUUUUUUUUAAUUUUUUUUUAAUUUUUUUAAUUUUUUGUCCAUCACGCUGAGGAUUAUGUCUGAAGAUAACGACAAGAUGACGAUUGCGCAGGCGCGUCUGAAGGCAUAUCAGCUCAAUGUCUGACGACGACAAUACCUAACGUAAAGCUUAGCUAAGAUGAUAAUGAUGGGAGGUGACAACACACUGAAGGCGUAACAGCUCGGCCACCUAAAGACAAAUAAAAUGAUGCAAUCGCCUGGAAAUGAUUGGUAGUUCCAGAGAACCCGUGCUGAACGAAUAGGAGGCUGGAUACGACGAGGCCAGGUACCUACAUUCUUCAAGCCACUUCAGAAACAGCAGCAACAGUCUACAGGACGUUCUUGAAGAAGCAACGGUGAAGCGACCACUCUACAAGUAUAUUUGUUCAAUGAUUUGUGAAUUUGUGAGUAAUAUGCCAUACUCGUUUAAGCUGUGGUUCCUUGGAAGUGUGCCUUGUACCUACAUUCUUCAGUCCACGUCAGGAGCAGCAGCAGCAGCAGCAGCAACAGUCUACAGGAUGUUCUUAAAGAAGUGACAGCGAAGCAACCACAUGACAACUCUGAGAUUUUAAAAGGUUUUUAUAUCUGUUGGUUUGUUCCUUAAUACGUUCUCUGUCAGACCUAGGCUGAACUUUUGCUUUUUCAACACAAUUUGAUAUUUAAAAGAAUAAGUUUAAAGAAUAAGUUUACGAAUAACAGGGUUAAAGGACGAGCCAGAUAAAAAUCUAAAUGAUGUUGUAAAUAAAUUAAUAAACAAAAAGUUUAAAUUGAAUUUAGAUAAUUCAAAUUUUGACUGCAUAUAUCGUCUUCGCGGGAAUAACAA